UACGUAGGGGGCUAGCGUUGUCCGGAAUCAUUGGGCGUAAAGCGCGUGUAGGCGGUCCGGUAAGUCCGCUGUGAAAGUCGAGGGCUCAACCCUCGAAUGCCGGUGGAUACUGUCGGGCUUGAGUACGGGAGAGGCGAGUGGAAUUCCUGGUGUAGCGGUGAAAUGCGCAGAUAUCAGGAGGAACACCAAUGGCGAAGGCAGCUCGCUGGGACGGUACUGACGCUGAGGAGCGAAAGCAUGGGGAGCGAACAGG
rnacentral:rRNA from 1 species